CUCCUAUCAGACUGCUGUCCAGCUAGAGGGAUCUGAUUUCACUGGUAUCCCUUUUUAAACCCUACUUCUAAGAGGGUUUGUAGCUAUUUCAUCUGUGUUAAGCAGCGCUGUGUUACCCGAGGCUAUAUGCUACGUUCUAUAUGAUCAAAGCAGAAAUGCAAGCAGCUUCUGACGAAGAGUUAUCGUGGCUGAGGGGAAAAAAUAUCAAGGAAGGAGAAAAAAGAUACAGCGCUACAAAAUACCAGGUCAUGCCACCAAAGUAAACACCCACAGUAUUUUUUCCACAAAAAAAUUGAUAGACUGCAGAGGAAAAGGAAAAAAGCAUUCUAGCAAACAGGCACCUCAUCUUACCAAUAUAAGUGAGGGGAAAAAAGAGGAAAAAAAUCAUUUCCAGACUUUGCAAGAACUCAGCUCUGCAUGGCACCUUCUGCAUCUCAGUCAGAUUUAAAACUUGAAGGCAGCUAGAGGCAUAUUGCAAUCUACCUUCAGAAACAGAACAGCUGCAGCUGAAGGGGAAACUUGAGGAGUAAGGAUGGUUUAAGUACUCUAUUGCUUCUGCCAGUGUGUUUACAGCAUACCACAGGGACGAUGUACAAAAGGACUCCUUAGACAAAUUCCGAGCAUUUUGACAAAGGAAGAAACAGAUCUUAUUAAAAAGUCAACAUUUGUUAAAUGAAAGAAAACAUGGUGCUGAGACUCCAGCUCGGUUUGAAGCAAAGCCAGGAAAUGUUAGCAGUAACCGGGAAGUACUGGGAGAGAGAAAACUUGUGCUUCUGACCUACACCUGGUGAUUACAAAUUAGAACUGGAUAUUUACUGAUAAGAUUACCUAGCCCUGGAUUAUUUAUAGAUUUCUUGCAGAAUGUAGUUCUGGUUGCUGGGAUAUAAAACACUCAACUAUUGCAUCCUCAUUUGGAAAGCAGAGGUAAUAGAAAAAAUAAUCACAUCUGUUGUGCAGGUAGGCAUGAACAUCUGUGAGUACAUGCAUAUGAAUACAUCUGGCUAAUACUGAACAUGGAUGGAAGCUUUGGGAUGCUGAGGAUAGAAUAAGAGACCUGACAGCUCUGUAAGUAAAACUUCUGUACUGCAGAUAUAAGAGAGAUGUAACAAGCAAUAACACACAGCAACCUCGCUGUGCUGUCUGGACUCCAGUUCCAGUUUCUCAGCAUGAGGAGAAGUUUCCAAGUGUUCAACUGCCACUUAAAAUCAAACAAGGCAUCUUGGUUUUCCAGAGAGGAGGAAAAAUCCUGGCUAUCACCAAUCUAUAUCCUGGAAUCCAUCAGCAUAGCUAACAGUAUUUCAUCUGCAGGAGCAGAGCUCCACCAAUUUGCGCUAGGCAGCGAGCUUCUGUUUCCAAACAGACCAUGAGAGAGUUACGACCCACAAAUCAGUCCAGAAUAUCCUUGGCUCUGUUUCAGGAUGCAAAUGCUGCUUUUUCUCUUCAAAAUAUUAAAAUUGAAUGAUCCAGUGAGGAGAGCUGUUCUACCUAUUUUGGUUAUGGGGCUUUUGAGGGGCUGUUUUGACUACCAAGUAGCUUUUAGUGGUAAUCAGUGACCACAAGAUCAAUUUACACUCUUAGAAAAUAAAUACAAUUCUUGUUUACAAUAAAAAGCGAAUGUGCAAGGAGAGGGGAAAAGAAGAGAGAGCAGGAUUAAUAAAUUACAAUUGUUAGCAAGCACUAACGUGUAUCAAAAUGGCAAAUCCUCUGGAGUAUGGCUGAGCUUCUUUUAUUCAGGUCAAUGACUCCUUUUGCGAUUCCCUUCUCUAAAAAGAGCAUUUUUCAAUGAUUUAUGUAUAAUAAUCUCCACAUCAGCAUAUCUUAUUUUUCAGUAUUUGUUUGUUAAACAUGCAGGAAGAAUCUCAUACUGAAGCCCUUAGCCUUGAAAAUACAACUGGGACAAUGGCAUAAAAAUAUGCAUAUAAAAUAGAAAUAUUUAUUAGUAAAGCUCAUGCUUAUGUUUUGACAUGUAGGUAAGGAAAAUGAAAAAAUAAACCAUUUUAGAUUGCUGAGUUAAGACUUUAAUGGUGUGAGUUUCAGACAGAUACACACGGGUUGGUUAUUAAGCAAAGAAAAGAAAAUCAUCUAUCAUAGGCCAACAGAGCAGGAUCUGCAGCAAGCAUCACAAAAGCUCCUUUCCAUCAGUCAGCACAAAGCACAUCUCCCUGCAGCCUGUAGGAGUCAGAACUGGACAAAAAUGGUAUUACUUGGUAAGUGGUUAAGAUGGUUUGAGUCAGUUCAAACAGAUCUGCAAAUCUGGGUGGAUUUUUCAGGACUAGAACUCCAUCACAGAAGAUUUUUGGCCACCUCUCCUUUAUGGCUGCCAACAAAAAGCUCAAAUUCUCCCAUGUGCCUGCCCACCUCAUGUGUCUGAAUCAUGUUCAGAGACUGGCAUGCUGAUUUAUUGAAAAAAAAAUCAGACUUCAAAGAAGUGGACAUACCCCUCCCAUACAAAGACUUCUGGUUUUCUGGUCAAAGAAUGUGACAAAAGGGAUGAGAUUUCCAACAGUGAAUCUAAAGACUGAAAUAUCAUCUAAGGUAAAGACUGAGGCCACCUCUUAACAAGCUAGAAAGACUUCAGGUAAGCACUACUAUGUAUGCCCCAUGGAAUUAUUAUACCAGUUGUCCCAUAUCAUUUCCAUUCUGCAGACUUGAAAAAUGCAGAAGUCACAGCUGGGAAUUCCACAAUGGGCAAAAUGCACUGUGUCUGAAUGGAUAAAAUGCACUGUGUAUGGAAAGUGACAGUAUUUCAGAGGUUGUAAUAUGUUAUAGAAACUAUUCACAUCAUUUUGAUUGACUGCAAAUGGCAAUCCCAAGAGACCUCACUUGUAGAAUGAAUUAUUCUCAUUACCAGGUUUGCCCUUGGCCAGCUCAGGACUGAGUCAGACCUGAAUAGACUCUUUGCUUCUUCUCCAAGAGGCUGUCUGCAGGCACAAAAGAAAGCAGCCUUACUACUGUUCAUACAGAGCCUGUCCCUCAGCAUAGCAGAGGAUUUCAUUCUCUAUGCUGUCCAUUUGAAGUCCCAGGAGAGGGAAGGAGGAGCUGAUAGAUAAAAUGGCAGAUAUGCAGUACCUUCCAGCUAGAAAGUCUGUCCCAUCCAAGAUAUUAAAGGCAACCAAGCCUUCUUACUCGAACUGUAUUCUCCAAGUUGACUGGAUACUAAGUAGGCACUGAUGUCCAUAAAUAUUUCACAAGGAAAAGAAUGCAUUUCCCAAGCAUUGACUAGCUACAUAUAUUAUUUAUACAAAACCAUGACUUAAGUUGAAAAACAAUAAAUGCUUCAACAGCAUACCUAUUCGCAACCUACUCCACUGCUAAGUAAAACGGGCUCAGGUUAUUCCUCAAGACCUCCUAACUGUGCAGAAAUUCAAUGAGACUUCCACAUAAACGUGACCUACAGAGCUGAGUAUGAGAUUGCAGUCUCUACCAAUACCAGUUAGCUAUGAAAUUGCAAGGACCCGUGGACAAUAGAUUAGAAAGCCCUGACAUCUGUUUGCAGAUUAUAUAUUAUAUUAUAUAUUUGUAUUAUAUUUUACACUCCCAAAUGAGAUCAGGUCUCCCUCUCUGAACAAGGGGCUGACAGUGCACAAGGAAGCAGUGUUCUGUCCUACUUCACAAACAAGGAGUUAGAGUUCAGGGAGAUAGAGGACUACAUUUUCCACUGCUAUUCACCCAGCACAGCUCACUGAUAGCCUUUUCGAGAGGAAUAAGUUGCUACAAAAAAGAUGAAGGUCAGGAAAACCAGAGAUUGCACAUUCCAGGGCCUUGCCAAGAAACUGCUAAAGAGUGGAGAUACGAAUUUAGGCCUUCCUCUUCCCCAGUGACUUCGCUAUGUGACUACUCUUUCUUGGUAAAUGAUCUUCAAACAGUUGUUUUAAUGACUGCUUUGUCAUUCAACCUAUUCAAGGCUGUAAAGGAGGCAUCCCAAAGGAGGUGCAACAGAAUAAAGCUCUUUUGCCUGAAGCACUUGUAACAUUAACAGAAGGAAGUUAAUUCUGCUACUGAAAAAGAGUUAAGAGAGGUUUACUAGCUCAUAACCAUAGCUAGAGAGAAGGGAAGAGCUUUUGGAGGGGAGAAAGUGGAUCCAAGAUGUAGGCAGUACCAUCACCAGUUAUGUGUUUACCACUCAGUUGGCAGCUAAUGGCCCAUUUCAUCCAUUCAGGAUGAAAGUGGGUAAAAUAAAUUGCAUUCUUUAAAAAGACCAUCUCUUCUUUCAUUGGCACUGAAAAUCCAUCUGAAAUGAACCUCUGAAAGCCAUUUUGAGUUUCUUUGGCAAGAUGCAGAAAGUGCCCAGGUAAUUCUUCACAAUUCAGUAUUGGGAAGAAAAAUAAAAGCAAUAAAAACACUGGAAGCUCUGGAGACGAGACUCACCUCAAUGCAGACAGCAAGAAGGAUAUUUAUGCACUAUUUAUACCACACCAAAUGCCACUUUUGCCUUACUUCGAUUAUAACACAUUUCAAAGAUCCUUCCGAAGCUUUGGUGUAACACUAACUUCACACAGCACUGGGAGAUAGAAGCAGCAGGGCUAUGGACAGCCACUCCAUGCAGGGUCAAGUGGUGUGUCCCUCUCCCCUCAGCACAUCCUGAUAAGCAAACACUAGAAAGAGCUGGAGAGGCUGAAAGCUGCAACACAACAGAGGCUGUAAUAGUAAGGGACCAUUCCUGAGCAUCUCCUGGCUGCUGCCCAGCUCUUUCGGAUGGACCCAGAGAUUCUGCCAAGCUCAGCUGUUCUGUGAUGUUAUGAAGCAAACAACUGCUGUUCUGCAUUCCCUGCCAUCACUGCUCCAAGGUGAGCAGUAGGUCUGUGAAAACGAUGGGGAGAAAGAAGGUCUCUGAAGCCACUCUGGUUCUCCCAUUGUCUCUGCAAAGCCUUGCUUCCCUGCUUUCUCUUUCUCUGAGAGAGAAGCAGAGAUGAGCAUAGAUUCGCACUGCAUUGAAACACAGCUCUCAGCAGUGAAGCCUACUCACUCAGUACAGUAUUGCUGGGUUACAUGGCAGGUGUGAAUGAAUGCAGUUCAUUUGGAUCCAAAAGAACUCAGCAGAAGACAGCAAGAUAAAUAACUUUGGAAAAAUGGUGUUGACAAGCAGGGACUUGUGGAAAGUAACUGGAUGGACCAGGAACCUGCUCACACAGCUCUCCCCACUGCCUCAGCAGCCUUAAAGCACCCCCACAUCACAGCCUUCAUAUUCUGUGCAUGACCCUUUCCACUGAAAGGGCAUUUUGGUGAGGUUCUGCAUGCCAGCCCUACUGCCUGGUCCUUCCAAGCCUUCUGCCCAUGAGGUUUUCUGACAGCACGUACCUUGAAGAUAUGCCCAGCCCACUGCUACCAUCAGUAAGUCCUGACUCCACUGACACUGCUUCUUGCCCCCAGCACUGCUUUUCCCUAUCAAGCUUUGUAGCAUCUGAAAGCGCAAUCAGCCAGCAGGAGGUAGAGAGCAUCCAGCUCCUACAAAGGAUUAUCCAACCUCUGAUCAUAGAUCUGAAUGAAUACAACAUCAAGCUCAACUCCAGGCAGCGAUUUGUUCUGAUUUCUGCAGCAAUACCAGAGCAGUGACCAUUUCAUAGAACUGAGGCAGACCACUGAGAAGUUCACAUGAACAUCCCAUGUGCACAAGGACUGUAACAACUUCUAGCCACUGGCAGAGCACAAGCAAUGCAGAGGCCAAGUAUCAAAGACAGAAGGGUUGUGUCCAAUCCAGCUCCUCUCCACACCAGGCUCAAGCAGAUGUGAAUUUGUAUAGGCUGCUUAUGAAGGCCCGCAAAAGGAAAUCCUGACACAGCAGUGUGAAAUCCCAUGCAGCUCUGUCACUCUAAAGACUUACACUAUAAAACCUUCAUUGCUCCAAUCCGUGAAGCAAAAUGACAAAUGACUCCAGUCAAAAGCUUGCAGUCAGGACCUAAAUCUUCCACCACCCCCUUUCUGCGUGAAUUAAUUUUAGGUGUUCUGUGAGAUAAAUUGAAUUUUGCACUCCUCCAGCUGCAGAAAUAGAUUGUUCUAGUUAUUAAAAUAAAUAUAUGAAAAAUAAAAAUGAAGGAGAUAAAAGAAAAAGGAAAUGCUAAUGUAGUCAGAAGCCACAGAGUCGUGCCAAAGAAUUGCAGUGGUACUAAGACACUUGUGCUAUAUUUAUGCAAGAAAUAAACAAAGAAAUAAACAAAGAAACAAAAACCAUAUGCACCUACAGCCCUCUUCUGAGAGUCUUUGUGGAGGCAGUUUAAGGUUAAAAUGAGAGGCUGCCAUGUAGCAGAUGUCAUAAUUUAUCCUGACAAUCUACACUGCACUGAGUGAUUGACUUCCGAGGGAGAAAGAAUGGGCCAAGAGUUUUUAACCUCCUGUUUUCCCUCCAGGAGUGUCAGUGCAUUCACUGAUCAGUAUGGGUUUUUCAUGUCUAAAUUGCAGAUUUUGCCCAUCAUAUUCAAACAUAUUCAAACAGCCUUCCUCUGCUCUCUCCCACCAGACACCAUGCACCAUUUUUCUCUAACUGACCAAGCUCAGUCCUACACAGAAGACACUACAAAUCUUACCUGUUCAGGCAAGAGCACUUAGACUUCCCAGAAAGUCCUUCUGAAAGCUGCCUUGGUCCCUCAGGUACCAUUUUCCUCCUUCCUCGAUGCAUUACUGCGCAUCUGGUUUUACAUACCUUCUACCAAUAUUUCACCAAGGAAAAGUCCUCAGGCAGUAGCAAGACAAACAAACAAACAAUAUCAACACUUAGAGAUCAAAAUUAAGAUCGUGGCAUCUCCAUGGUUGUAUAUUUGGGCCCUUGUGACCAAUACAUAGGGAUUAUCACUUAAUAGCUGUGAGUUUCACCAUCUCAGUCACCCACAGGACUGGAGCCUUUCAGGUGGGCCAGUAUGACCUUUUUAGACAUCUGUUUUCAGACAGCUGUAACCAGGCUCAAAUGGAAUUCUGUACCAGGCUUGUAGAAAAACACACACAGUGAGAUGAGGGCAUUUUAUUCAAAAAUAAAAUAUCUGAUAUUUUUUAAGCAAAUGAGCUUUGAACAUGAAGCUUUCAUUUCAGCUCAGAUAAAAUAUUUCAUUUGAUUUGAAACAAAACUUUUCUUAGUGUUUUGAUUCAUCCAGCACAACAAAAAAAAGAUCAGUCAUUUACAGAGUGCUGCUUAUAUUUGGGCUCUCAAUAGAUUUCAGUACAGAGGAAAAACAAUCAAGUGCUGUAAUGCUAACUAUGACCAAUUAAGUCUUAGUUCUGCAAUAGUGGAUUUUUUCUUAAAGCUCCAGCUUCUUGAAUCACGAGAUCACAUCUCAGCCUUCAUUAGCACAGAAAGUGAAUGUCUGAUAAUCUGGACUGCAAACAGUCACAGACUGGAGCUCCAGAGGCUUAUAGCUCCUAAACAAGCAAAAAAUUAUUUUCCCAUCUUACUAAUUUAAAAAAAAAAACAAAACUCAUGGUUUGAGAUGGGUCUUAUUUGUGAUUUUUUAACUCUUCGGGUAGACAAUACUGGAAAUGACUUCCCAGAUACUUCCACCCUCUGGGCUUUUUCCCCUUCUCUGUUCUCGUCCCCUUCCCCCAUUGGCUCCCAUUUGGUUUGGGGAAGGAAACCCUCAGCCAGCCAGCUCCAACCCCCACCAACAGUAAGAGUUAAUUUCUUGCAAUGUAUCUCAGUGUAGUAACUGAUUACAUUUUUCCCCAAAGGAAACUUCAGUUAAUUUGGUUAGUGACUCAUAUGCCAGGCUGCCAAUUACAACACAGAUGAUUACACACAUAAAUUCAUGUCGGAGUGGCUCAACGAUCACAGGGAAAAAAAGAAAGAAAGAAAGAAAAAGGCAGAAAAGAAACCCCUGGAUUCCCUUUUAUCCUCCCAGGAAGGGGGUGGGUAAGUGUCCCACAGUGAGGGGUGCCCACCAAGAUUUGAGCCUCAGUGCCCCAACCUGUAGGAUGGAGCACAGUCUUUGAAAUGGCAGUGUCUCCUAGCUUUUGUUUGGGAUGUUCAUUGCAGAAAUGUGUUGCAUGUUCUCUAAGAGAUUGUUUGCCAGUAUUGUUAGAAGAAUCCAUAUACAAGUGAGAAGGAAGGAGGUUAAAUGAGCAGUGCUUGGCAGUACGUCCGUAAAUCAUUUAAAGAUAACCUGUGCAUACCAAUACAAAAAAAAAAAGAAAUCCAAUUAAAGUAACUUAUUACAAAUCUA